rnacentral:rRNA from 1 species
UACGUAGGGUGCGAGCGUUGUCCGGAAUUAUUGGGCGUAAAGAGCUCGUAGGCGGUGUGUCACGUCGUUCGUGAAAACCUGCAGCUUAACUGUGGGCGUGCGGUCGAUACGGGCAUCACUGGAGUUCGGCAGGGGAGACUGGAAUUCCUGGUGUAGCGGUGAAAUGCGCAGAUAUCAGGAGGAACACCGGUGGCGAAGGCGGGUCUCUGGGCCGAGACUGACGCUGAGGAGCGAAAGCGUGGGGAGCGAACAGG